GAGCUGAUGCCUAAAUCUCAUUCCUUUGCACAUUGAGCAAUCUUCCACGAGGUAGCUUGGGACAGAAGCCAAGUGACAUCCACAGAAUGGCUAUUUGGAGUACCAGCUUUGCCUGAGAGAAAGGUGAGAUGGCAGCUUGGAUACAAGUUAAUUUAACAAGCACCUAUUUAUUACCUGUUAUGUGCCUUUUUCAAUACGGAGCUCCAGAGGAACCAAAGCAAAUAGGCUAUAGUCUUUGACACUGCAUCCAGAAGAAGACCAAUAAAUAGGGCUAUCCCAAUGGGAAGCUGUAAGGUAAAAAUGGAGUGACCAGAAGUGUUUUUGGAGGAUUCUGUUGGAGGGAACAUGAGCCAGGCUUAAUUUUACUUUGG